CUGAACUCCUCCCGGGCCCUGAAACUCUUACCCUUUGCGCUUAACCCCUUGUUCCUCCCUUCUCCUCUUUGCUCCCUUCUCCUCUAGACCGCUAACUUGCCAGCUUUUCUAUCAUCUCUAGUGAAGAUCCUCAAGAGAAAGGGUUAUUUGGCAGCCAUGGAGGCUGGAAUAGUGCCUGCCUGGCACACAGAAGAUUCUCCAUAAGUGUCAGUUGACAGGAGCUGAAUCGAAAAUCCCAUGUUUACCCUAAAACGGACAUUGCUUCAGCAGGCCUGAGACAGCGACUGUUGGUUCAUUUACGCAUUCAACAAAUAUUUAUUGAGCACCUACUUAGGAACCAGAGCUUCUGCUAGGGCCUGGAGCUACAGGGAUCCCAGGGCCCUGUUUUUAUGGAGAGUACGUCCUUGUCAACCCGAAUGUCUGAGUGGACAUCAAAAGUAUGUAGCAUUUCCUGGAAUUAAAAAAAAGUUUCAGUUUUCUGAGCCCAAACAAAAGGCAGGUAUUCAAUUACCACUUAUUAGGUCAUAGGCUCCAGUGGCCCCAGGCUCUCCCCUUGUAGUGGCAAGGUGGUUGCAGCAGCUCCAGCCAUCAUAUCCUCUCAGAUCCAAGUUCUGCACACAAAAGCAAGUUGGUUUCCAGUCGCCUAAGCCCAAGUGCUGAUAGUCACUCUUACUGGACUUAUCGUUGACCCAAUUGUAGUGGCCCAAGGAAUGGGCUGAGCUCAUAGACUUAGGCCUAGACAGUCAAGUUCCACCCCCAGUGGGGGACAACCCAAAUGCCCACCACAGGGACUGAGAGUGGGAGGAGAGGCAGAGGGUCUAAUGAAAAUCUGGGAAUGCCAAGUGGCUAUUGGGGAGAUAAAGCCUUCAUUCACCUCUGUGGAUCACUAUUGUCUCCGGUGCUGUCCUGCUGUAAAUCCAUUCUUCACCCCACAGCC